UCAUCAGAGUAUGCUUGCCCUUUUCUUUCUUAGAUUCUUGUUUAGGUGAUAUGUACCAACAGAAGAAAGUGAGUUCUGAAAUUCUGGUUUAGAUGCAUUUUCAAACUUAGAAAUAGUUGGCGUGAUCUUGCUGGGAUAGCUUUUUCAUAGAUCACUGAAAAGUUGGUGGAAUUUUCCUUCAUUUUCUAGUUGAAACAUUUAAUUAAGUUCGGAAUAUGCAAGUUUCAAAGAGCUUUCAUGAUAGAGUUGGAACCAAACCAAAAAAAAAUUAGAGUAGCAGCUGUAAUAAUUAACCUUGCUGCAGAGGCACCUUUUCCUCUGUUCUUUUUGUUAUCAGAAAUAUCUAGGGAUUUGUCUUGACAGUCUUAUUGAUAUUAUCUUUAUAUCUUGUAUGCCAAUAUGCAGUUUGUUUUGGCCUUCACAAUUAUGUGGGGAUUCUCUUUGAUACUUCUCUUGAUAUAUCUGUUUGUGAUAUGACAUUGUUCUCUUUUGUUAGCCAACUCAUGAGUAGCAUUUCCUCUCUAAAUGAACAUGUUAUUUCUAUUAUUCUAACAUGCUGUAUGAAAAUUUAUUUGGAUUGUAAUGACAUCCUUUUUUGUUCUUGACUUCUUAUCCAGUAUUGAUGUAUGUUCGACAAUUCGAACUUAAUGCCCAUAUUGCAUCCCCUAGCUUGUCUUCCUAUAGAUGUUUUUCCUAUUUGUAGGCAGUUAGAAAUUUCUACUUGGUUCCUUUCUAAAGCAAGUUAAGAAAUGAAGCUACCUGUGCACUCUAUGAGGUUUCAUGAAUUUAGGCAGUCUGUUCCACCAACUGAGUUUUUAACCAUUGUUUUUUUGGCCCUUUCCUAGCAUGCAUAUUAGUGGAUGUAUUCCUAGUAUGCAAUGUAAAACUUAAAAUAAAAAUAUCCUUCUUUGAGAAUAAGUUCUCUUUAAUUUUCAUAUUAUGAUAAAUUAAUAACACAAAUUCCUACUUACAUGUGGUCUUAUACCAUCAAAUUUUCUACUUAGCAAUUCUGGUAUUUGAAUAUGGAACUUUAUUAGCUUCUUGUGUAUCACUUCUAAAGGACAUCAUAUCACAGGUAAAUUCUAAAGGAUACGUUUGAUAUGCUUGUUUAAGUUGAUUACAUAUGAUUUUUCUUCUUCAUUGCAAGUUACUUUUAUAUGAGAUAUACAUUUUCAGUAAUAUAUAUAUUCUGCAUUGCUGAUAACGCACAUGUCAAGCAUACAAUUUUUACUUUAAGCCUCUUCUCAAGUGCAACGAGAAAGCCACAUAUAAACAUAGCUAAGUGAUGCUCAAAAUUGCUUGCAUGAUGCUCUUUGAGGAGACAUUGAUAAGCGAAGAGGAGGAAGAAGCACUACUUGAUCAGAAUAUGGAGGAUUAAGAUGCAGAAUAUAGAAAAAUAAAAGUCCAUGGCUGCAUAUAUCAAGAGAGAGGUUUGUUCUGCCUUGGUGCAACUUAUAGAAGUUCGACCAUCAUUCCUAGAGUGCCUUUUCAGAUAUUUUUGAAGGUGAAUGGAGGUAUUCAAAAACUCCAGCUAAAUAGCUCGGGUAUGGAUAAUUACAGGAGCAACAACUACAUGCUAUGUGGCACUGCAUCCGAACAUCAUGGGUGUGAUUGGGAAGUACUUCGACGAAGAACUAUCAAGAAGGUUUUGGGAUUUAAGUGAGAAUAUGGUUAAAGUCAAUGAGUAAAGAACAUUCAAGUCAAGAGGAUAAGUAGCAUCUAUAAAGAUCCUUUAAGUUCAUACAAUAAGAUGUAGAUGAUAGAAGUUUUCAGUAUCUCCUAAUUAAAAUUUCUUUGUAUGCAAGUAAUUAUGCUUGUUAUAAAGUGUAUGAAUGAUAAUUUAUAUAUUUAUCUUGGUUGUUUAUUUAAUAAUAUGUCGUUGAUUGAAGUA